rnacentral:rRNA from 1 species
UACGGGGGGGGCAAGCGUUGUUCGGAAUUACUGGGCGUAAAGGGCUCGUAGGCGGCCAACUAAGUCAGACGUGAAAUCCCUCGGCUUAACCGGGGAACUGCGUCUGAUACUGGAUGGCUUGAGUUUGGGAGAGGGAUGCGGAAUUCCAGGUGUAGCGGUGAAAUGCGUAGAUAUCUGGAGGAACACCGGUGGCGAAGGCGGCAUCCUGGACCGGCAUUGACGCUGAGGAGCGAAAGCCAGGGGAGCAAACGGGG